ensembl:lncRNA
CUGUGCUGAGUCCCAUUGGGGGGGGGUUGGGGGUCGUUGUCGUCCCCCCCCCCCCCCUCUCUUUUUUUUUCUUUUUUUUUUUCUGCUUCACAAACAGCAAAGUGAAUGUUUGAGCAUGGUUUUUCUCAUUUUUUCUUCAUUUUUUUUCUUUUUUCUUCAUUUUUUUCCUCUUUUUUUUCUUCAUUUUUUUUUCCUUUUUUUUUCCUCUUUUUUUUUCUCCUUUUUUUGCUGCUUUUUUUCUUCCUUUUUUUCUCCCUUUUUCUCCUUUUUUCUCCUUUUUUUCUCCUUUUCUUCUCCUUUUUUUCUCCUUUUCUUCUCCUUUUUUUCUCCUAUUUUCUCCUUUUUCCUCCUUUCUCCUUUUUUUCUCCUUUUUUCUUCUUUUUUUCUCCUUUUUUCUCCUUUCUCCUUUUUUCCUGUUUUUUCUCCUUUUUUUCCUCCUUUCUCUCCAAUUUUUCUCCCUUUUUCACCUUUUCUCCUCCUUUUUCCUUCCUUUUCCCCCCUUUUUUCCCCUUUUUCCUGUUUUUUUUUCCUCGAUUUUUUCUCUCUUUUUCACCUUUUUUCUCCUUUUUUCCUCCUUUUUUCUCCUUUUUCUUCACCUUUUUUCUCCCUUUUUCCAGUUUUAUUUCUCGAUUUUUCUCCCUUUUUCAGCUUUUUCUUCCUUUUUUCUCCUUUUUUCUCCUUUUGUCUCUCCUUUUCUCUCCUUUUUUUCUCCCCUUUUUUCUCCUUUUUUCUCUCCUUUUUUCUCCUUGUCUUCUUCCCUUUCUCUCCAUUUUUCUCCUUUUUUCUUCCUUUCUUCCCUUUUUUUCACUUCUUUCUCCUUUUCUUCUUUUUUUUUCUCCUUUUUUUCUCAUUUUUCUUCUUUUUCUCCUUUCUUUCACCUUUUUUCCCUCCUCCUUUCUUCCUUUUUUGUCCAUUUUCUCCUCUUUUUCUCCAUUUUUAUUCCUUUUUUCUCGUUUUUUCUCUUUCUUUCUUUUUUUCCCUCCACUUUGUCCCCUUUUCUCCUUUUUUCCUCCUUUUUUCUCCUUUUUCUUCUCCUUUUUCUCUUUUUCUCAUUUUUUCGCCUUUUUUCUCCUUUUUUCUCAUGUUCCUUCUCCAUUUUUUCCUUUUUCUCCUUUUUUCUCAUUUUCUCUGCUUUUUUCUCCUUUUCCCUCAUUUUUCUCCUUUUUUCUCCCUUUUCUUCUUUUUUCCUCUUUUUUUUCCACCUUUUUUCUCCUUUUUUCCUCCAUUUUUCUCCUCUUUCUCUCCUUUUUUCCUCCACUUUUUGUCCACUUUUCUCCAUUUUUCUCCUUUUUCCAUUUUUUCUCCUUUCUUUUCCUUUUCUCUCCAUUUUUCCCUUUUUUCUCCUCUUUUUCUCCUUUUUUUCCUCCAUCUCUCCUUUUUUUCUCCUUUUCUCUCCAUUUUUUCCUUUCUUUCUCCUUUUCACCUUUUUCCUUUUUUUCUCCUCUUUUUCUCCUCCUUUUUUUUCUUCUCCUCUUUUUCUCCCUUUUUUUUUUUUGGUAUUUCUUCCCUUUUUUUCUUUCCCUUUUUCUUCCCCUCCUCCUUUAAAAUCUUUUUUUUCUUUUUUUUUGUCCUUUUUUUUUUUUUUUUUUUUUCCUUUUUUUCUCCUCUUUUUCUCCUCCUUUUUUUUCUUCUCCUCUUUUUCUCCCUUUUUUUUUUUUGGUAUUUCUUCCCUUUUUUUCUUUCCCUUUUUCUUCCCCUCCUCCUUUAAAAUCUUUUUUUUCUUUUUUUUUGUCCUUUUUUUUUCUUCUGUUUUCUUCCCAUCCGUUCUGAGAAUCGACUUUGGCAU